rnacentral:rRNA from 1 species
GAUGAACGCUGGCGGCGUGCUUAACACAUGCAAGUCGAACGGGAUCCAAGGGGUGCUUGCACUUUUUGGUGAGAGUGGCGCACGGGUGAGUAACACGUGAGUAACCUGUCCUUUUCUUUGGGAUAAGCAUUCGAAAGGGUGUUUAAUACCUUAUGUUCUGUCUGCCUCGCAUGGGGUGGGUGGGAAAGGCUUUGGCCGGAUUUGGGUGGGCUCGCGGUCUAUCAGCUUGUUGGUGGGGUGAUGGCUUACCAAGGCUUUGACGGGUAGCCGGCCUGAGAGGGUGGUCGGUCACAUUGGGACUGAGAUACGGCCCAGACUCCUGCGGGGGGCAGCAGUGGGGGAUAUUGCACAAUGGGCGAAAGCCUGAUGCAGCGACGCCGCGUGGGGGAUGAAGGCCUUCGGGUUGUAAACUUCUUUUGCUCUGAACAAGGCAUGCCAGUGGGUGUGUUGAGUGUAGGGGUUGAUUAGCGCCGGCUAACUACGUG